AGUGAACGCUGGCGGUAUGCCUAACACAUGCAAGUCGAACGGCAGCACAGUAAGAGCUUGCUCUUACGGGUGGCGAGUGGCGGACGGGUGAGGAAUACAUCGGAAUCUACUUUUUCGUGGGGGAUAACGUAGGGAAACUUACGCUAAUACCUCAUACGACCUACGGGUGAAAGCAUGGGAUCUUCGGACCUUGCGCGAUUGAAUGGGCCGAUGUCGGAUUAGUUAGUUGGCGGGGUAAAGGCCCACCAAGGCGACGAUCCGUAGCUGGUCUGAGAGGAUGAUCAGCCACACUGGAACUGAGACACGGUCCAGACUACUAAGGGAGGCAGCAGUGGGGAAUAUUGGACAAUGGGCGCAAGCCUGAUCCAGCCAUACGGCGUGGGUGAAGAAGGCCUUCGGGUUGUAAAGCCCUUUUGUUGGGAAAGAAAAGCAGCAGGUUAAUACCCCGCUGUUCUGACGGUACCCAAAGAAUAAGCACCGGCUAACUUCGUG
rnacentral:rRNA from 1 species